GGAGUUUGGACCGUGUCUCAGUUCCAAUGUGGGGGACCUUCCUCUCAGAACCCCUAAGGAUCGUAGGCUCGGUGGGCCGUUACCCCGCCGACUACCUAAUCCUACGCAUCGCCAUCCCUUACCGAUAAAUCUUUCGUCCUCGUCUGAUGCCGUCGGAGGACACAUAGGGCAUUAGUCUUACUUUCGCAAGGUUAUUCCCUGGAAAAAGGCAGGUUGGAUACGUGUUACUCACCCGUGCGCCGGUCGACGCCUGAGAGAGCAAGCUCUCUCAUCGUUUCCCCUCGACUUGCAUGUGUUAAGCCUGUAGCUAGCGUUCAUC
rnacentral:rRNA from 1 species